GUGAGGAAUUUUCCGCAAUGGGCGAAAGCCUGACGGAGCAAUGCCGCGUGAAGGAUGAAGGCCUAUGGGUUGUAAACUUCUUUUCUCAGAAAAGAAUUAUGACGGUAUCUGAGGAAUAAGCAUCGGCUAACUCUGUGCCAGCAGCCGCGGUAAGACAGAGGAUGCAAGCGUUAUCCGGAAUGAUUGGGCGUAAAGCGUCUGUAGGUUGUUUAAAAAGUAUUCUGUCAAAGAUUAGGGCUUAACCCUAGAUAGGCAGAAUAAACUUUUAAGCUAGAGUUUGGUAGAGGCAGAGGGAAUUCCCGGUGGAGCGGUGAAAUGCGUAGAUAUCGGGAGGAACACCAAAGGCGAAGGUACUCUGCUGGGCCAAUACUAACACUGAGAGACGAAAGCGAGGGGAGCAAAUGGGAUUAGAUACCCUUGUAGUCC
rnacentral:rRNA from 1 species